GGUCCUCUGGCGCAACGGUAGCGCGUUCGACUCCAGAUCGAAAGGUUAUCCGUUCAAAUCGGGUGGGGAUCA
rfam:Colletotrichum sublineola strain TX430BB Scaffolds1185.1, whole genome shotgun sequence.